CAGUAGCCGCGGUAAUACGAAGGGUGCAAGCGUUACUCGGAAUUACUGGGCGUAAAGCGUGCGUAGGUGGUGGUUUAAGUCCGUUGUGAAAGCCCUGGGCUCAACCUGGGGAUUGCAGUGGAUACUGGGUCACUAGAGUGUGGUAGAGGAUAGUGGAAUUUCCGGUGUAGCAGUGAAAUGCGUAGAGAUCGGAAGGAACAUCUGUGGCGAAGGCGACUAUCUGGGCCAACACUGACACUGAGGCACGAAAGCGUGGGGAGCAAACAGGAUUAGAUACCCCAGUAGUCCCUGUCUCUUAUAC
rnacentral:rRNA from 1 species